AUUUGUCUAUUCCAAGCAGCCAAACAAACAACAAUCCGAAUAACUUUUGUAGAACAAAAAACAAAAUAAUAAUAAGAAUCAUUUAAAAUUAUCGACAUCUUUUCCAGUGGUGAGAGAGAAGGAAAUAAUUAUGCAGCUUGAAAAGAUAAAUCACUAUUGACUAUAUUGACUGUGUAUUCGAUGUGUAUUUAUCGCAGUUCGAUCAAAAAACUCUCUCUCUCUCUCUCUCUCUCUAAAUCAUAAUUAGUAGUGAUCGGCAGAAAGAAAAAUGUCGAGAGUCUAUUUGUUGCUGUUUUUGUGCUAAAUACCAGCGUUGGGGUCUUAGCGGUUGAGGCUUUUAGCAGACAAGAUUUCCCUACUGGCUUUCUCUUUGGCGCUGGAACCUCAGCUAAUCAGGUGGAAGGAGCAGCAAACGAAGAUGGGAGGACUCCCAGCAUUUGGGAUAGUUCUUUUGCUCCUAGUGCCGUAUUUGGACAACCUUACAAGAGGAUCCAUCAAAUAAUCAUCUUGGGUGUCCUCUACUACAAAAAUGGAGAAGAGCUGGAAACUAGCUUUACUCCUCCUGCAUAUAUUUCUAAAAGACUCUGCUCUUCAUAAGUCCAGAACCAGAAACUGAGCCAACCUCUUCAUCAUCAUCAUCAACAUCUCCAUGAGAAAAAGAGAGUUUUACCAAAAACCGCUAUUGUAAAAGAAGUGGGUGAAGUGAAAUAGCUGUAUUAUUAACUAAUAGAAAUUAU